rnacentral:rRNA from 1 species
UGGGGAAUUUUGGACAAUGGGCGAAAGCCUGAUCCAGCAAUGCCGCGUGUGUGAAGAAGGCCUUCGGGUUGUAAAGCACUUUUGUCCGGAAAGAAAUCCUUGGCUCUAAUACAGUCGGGGGAUGACGGUACCGGAAGAAUAAGCACCGGCUAACUACGUGCCAGCAGCCGCGGUAAUACGUAGGGUGCAAGCGUUAAUCGGAAUUACUGGGCGUAAAGCGUGCGCAGGCGGUUUGCUAAGACCGAUGUGAAAUCCCCGGGCUCAACCUGGGAACUGCAUUGGUGACUGGCAGGCUAGAGUAUGGCAGAGGGGGGUAGAAUUCCACGUGUAGCAGUGAAAUGCGUAGAGAUGUGGAGGAAUACCGAUGGCGAAGGCAGCCCCCUGGGCCAAAUACUGACGCUCAUGCACGAAAGCGUGGGGAGCAAACAGGAUUAGAUACCCUGGUAGUCCACGCCCUAAACGAUGUCAACUAGUUGUUGGGGAUUCAUUUCCUUAGUAACGUAGCUAACGCGUGAAGUUGACCGCCUGGGGAGUACGGUCGCAAGAUUAAAA